AUUAUUUACUUCCGCAAGGUGCACGUUCGGUGAAGAUGUGAGAUGUAAAUGAAAAAAGAACUUCGAAGUAUGAGUGGGUCUAACGGUAACACUGAUCCUGUGAUCUUGGCCACUGCUGGAUAUGAUCACACGAUUAGGUUCUGGCAGGCCCACAGUGGGAUCUGCUACCGAACUGUACAGCAUCCAGACUCUCAGGUCAAUGCAUUGGCAAUAACACCAGAUAAACAGCUAAUAGCUGCUGCAGGAUAUCAGCACAUACGUAUGUAUGAUCUUAACUCUAACAAUCCAAAUCCUGUCAUCAACUACGAGGGUAUUUCCAAAAACAUCACAGGUGUGGGAUUUCAGGAGGAGGGCAAGUGGAUGUACACUGGCGGAGAGGAUAAUAACGUCCGAAUCUGGGACCUCAGAUCCAGAAAUCAACAAUGCCAAAGACUGUUCCAAGUGAAUGCCCCAAUCAACUGUGUCUGUCUCCACCCCAAUCAGGGAGAACUUUUCAUCGGAGACCAGAGUGGAUCCAUCCAUAUAUGGGAUUUGAAGACAAACAACAAUGAACAGCUGAUACCAGAACCAGACGCCUCCAUCCAGUCUAUCAGUAUUGACCCAAUGGGAACGAUGAUGGCUGCUGUCAAUAACAAGUGCUGUUGUUACAUUUGGACACUGACAGGAGGGCGGGGAACAGAUCCCACCCAACUCCACCCAAAAACCAAGUUUGAGGCUCACGGUCGAUACGCUCUCAAAUGUUUGUUCAGCCCAGAUUCUACGUUGCUGGCUACCACCUCUGCCGAUCACACAGCCAAGAUCUGGCGGACGGCAGACCGCACCUUGAUGACCGAACUCAGGGACAACACUCAGCGAUGGGUGUGGGACUGUGCCUUCAGUGGCGACUCACAAUACAUCAUAACAGGUAAAACACUGUAAACUUGGGGACAACACUCAGAGAUGGGUGUGGGACUGUGCCUUCAGUGGCGACUCACAAUACAUCAUAACAGGUAAUACACUGUGAACUUAGGGACAACACUCAGCGAUGGGUGUGGGACUGUGCCUUCAGUGGUGACUCACAAUACAUCAUAACAGCAUCUUCAGACAACACUGCUCGACUCUGGAGUGUAGAUACUGGCGAGGUAAAGAAGGAAUACAGCGGUCACCAAAAGGCUGUGGUUGCCAUGGCGUUCCGGGACGAAAUUGUUGUUCAUUGAUUCACUUCUAUGCAUGUUAAUUCUUGAGGAGCUUUGUGUUGGACUGUGAAAGCUUGACAAGUUGGAUGUUCAUUCCAACUAUUUUUCAAUGAAAUGCAAGAUACUGGUCAUCUUAAGGCUGAGUGUUACAGCUUUUUAUGAUGUGAACAACCUCCUUUAACUCAUUCACCCCUGAAGACACAUUUGAACUCUUCCAAUUUAAAGGUUGGAAUAGUUCAUUAUGAAAUUUCAGGGGUGUAUAAGUUAAACCCUGCACGUAUUUAAACAUUAGUAUUAAAGGACUUCUCACUUUUAAUACUUAUUGAAGGGCAGGAUGUUGUUUUAAUAUAUUAGGAACAUUUACAUUGGUUGAAGUAAUGUACAGGUCAUGACCUUUUAUGAUAUUGGACUAAA
rnacentral:misc_RNA from 1 species